AGCAGCCGCGGUAAUUCCAGCUCCAAUAGCGUAUAUUAAAGUUGCUGCAGUUAAAAAGCUCGUAGUUGAAUUUCGGGACCAAUAUGUCGGUCGUGCCUCGGUACGCACUGGCUUAUAGGUUUCUCCCUUCUGACGAACCAUGAUGUCAUUAAUUUGGUGUCUUGGGGAAUCAGGACUGUUACUUUGAAAAAAUUAGAGUGUUUAAAGCAGGCUCACGCUUGAAUACAUUAGCAUGGAAUAAUGAAAUAGGACGUUUGAUUCUAUUUUGUUGGUUUCUAGGAUCGACGUAAUGAUUAAUAGGGAUAGUUGGGGGCAUUAGUAUUCAAUUGUCAGAGGUGAAAUUCUUGGAUUUAUUGAAGACUAACUACUGCGAAAGCAUUUGCCAAGGAUGUAUUCAUUAAUCAAGAACGAAAGUUAGGGGAUCGAAGACGAUCAGAUACCGUCGUAGUCUUAACCAUAAACUAUGCCGACUAGGGAUCGGAUGAUGUUAAUUUUUUAAUGACUCAUUCGGCGCCUUACGG
rnacentral:rRNA from 1 species